rnacentral:lncRNA from 1 species
AGAUGGGGGGCAAUGGAAGAUACUGCCGUGGCAAUAGUAGGUCCAACACAGAGAGCAGAACACUGCAAACACCUACUGGAUUAUAUAACGGGGAAGGUAACUACAGGAGGAAAAAUGCCAUGCUGAAUGAAGAUAAUAGCUUCGGAAGGAACGUUUAGGGAUCCCACCGAUGAAAGAAAGCCUAAAUUGUCAAUUGAAAUUUUCAGAAGUUGCAGACUUAAAUUCCGAUGUAUCCCCAGAAGAUGCUACAUGAGCUACCUGUGAGUAUACAGGUAAUUCCAUGGCGAAAGAAUCACUUUAUGAUGUGCAGAAGUUGGUUGAGAAAAUUGAUAUUUGCAAAUCUUUCAAGUUUAAAACUUUAAUCCUCAAUGUUAAUGAUUGAGAUACCUGAAGUUGAAUAGCUUAGAUUGAGGAUAAAUAUGGCAUACAGACUUCUACUUCUGAACCCAUAAAUGAUGGUAAAUAAGUUGUAAAGCAUUUUGCUCCUAUGUGUAGAAGAAUGAGUUGCAAUGUCCAAUAACUAUGGGGAAAAAAUAGAGCUUUUAGUAAUUCUAUGAAUGCUUAUAACUUCCUCCAGAAGGCAUUCUUUCAAAUGCUUGUCUCAGCUUUUUGGUUUCUGCAUAUUGGAUCCAUGAAGAUAAUGUUUCUUGCAGUGCAUGUUAAAGAAAGCUCUCUUUUUUUUUGUAGAAAAUGAAUCUCAAAAAAAUUCAGUUUGUAAUGUCAACCAUUUCAUAGUCAAUUCCCAGAAGCUGAUGGUUAUCUUCUGUUUAUUGUUAUCAUAUGAUCAGAGUAUUCUUGUGAAGAGUAGCUGGUGAAGAUAUGCAUUUGAGACUUGUUUUCUGAUUUAAUACUAUUUAAAUGAAUUGUUUGCAUUAGUUGGUGACAAGGGUUUCAGUAACAUGAGGAUUUGAAUUUCAACAUACAGUCAAUGCAGAGGUUUCCAAAGAAGCAGAUAAGCAGGAGAAUAUUUUUCUGGUUUGAGAUGCUGAAAUUUUUUCAUCAUAG